rnacentral:rRNA from 1 species
GAUGAACGCUGGCGGCGUGCCUAAUACAUGCAAGUCGAGCGAACGGACGAGAAGCUUGCUUCUCUGAUGUUAGCGGCGGACGGGUGAGUAACACGUGGAUAACCUACCUAUAAGACUGGGAUAACUUCGGGAAACCGGAGCUAAUACCGGAUGAUAUUUUGAACCGCAUGGUUCAAAAGUGAAAGACGGUCUUGCUGUCACUUAUAGAUGGAUCCCCGCUGCAUUAGCUAGUUGGUAAGGUAACGGCUUACCAAGGCAACGAUGCAUAGCCGACCUGAGAGAGUGAUCGGCCACACUGGAACUGAGACACGGUCCAGACUCCUACGGGACGCAGCAGUAGGGUAUCUUCCGCAAUGGGCGAAAGCCUGACGGAGCAACGCCGCGUGAGUGAUGAAGGUCUUCGGAUCGUAAAACUCUGUUAUUAGUGAAGAACAUAUGUGUAAGUAACUGUGCCCAUCUUGACGGUACCUAAUCAGAAAGCCCCGGCUAACUACGUG